UACGUAGGGUGCAAGCGUUGUCCGGAAUUAUUGGGCGUAAAGAGCUCGUAGGCGGUCUGUCACGUCGGAUGUGAAAAUCCAGGGCUUAACCCUGGACCUGCAUUCGAUACGGGCAGACUAGAGUUCGGUAGGGGAGACUGGAAUUCCUGGUGUAGCGGUGAAAUGCGUAGAGAUCGGAAGGAACACCAGUGGCGAAGGCGGCUGUCUGGACAGAUACUGACGCUGAGGCGCGAAAGCGUGGGGAGCAAACAGG
rnacentral:rRNA from 1 species